GUUUGGAUUUUUUCUUACAGUUCUGUAUGUAAGUCAUUUUCCAGUGGCAACUAUUAAAUGCAUACAAAUCACGACGAUGAUGUAUUAAUGUGAUGUGAAUGUGAAUGAAAGUAAAAUAAAAAAAAUACUGAACUUACAGGAAAAUCAAUUCGGAAAGUCCAUAAUCACAUGGCAAAAUCAAAUAACAAAACGCAUCAAAAACGAAUGGACAAGUUCUGUCAUACUCCUGACUUGGUACAGGCAUUUUCAAAUGUAGAAAAUGAUAGACAAACUAACGUUAUAGUUCACAUCAGAAAAAUCAAAAUGCUGAAAUGUCACCUACCCGGCACAUUAUUUUGACUAAUUAAAAACUCUGUUGUCGACACAUGGAAUCUCAACAUUGAAUCUAGCGAAGUCGAAUAAUGUCAUCGUAAUACUAUACUCUCCAUUAUCUGUUAAAAGGAUAUCUUAAAUUCAAAUAAGUAUGUCUAAUUAAUAUAUAUGCUAAAGGGGGAAAAGGUUAUUUCUGUAAAUAAAAAUAUGAAAGACAGUAGAUAAUAUAAAAAAAAAUAUUACUUCCUAAACCUGCAUUUCGAUUGAUAGGUGUUUACCCUAGUAAAAAUAGUUCAUCAUGACCAUCUUUACAUGCUCUACUUGCAUUAGUCAUAUUAUGACUCAUAUAUAUUAGAUACUGUGAUAUUUAUUAUGCUAUCUCGGGG
rnacentral:lncRNA from 1 species